rnacentral:lncRNA from 1 species
CCACACAUCAGAAAUUUUAAAAUAUGUCAAACAACCAUUAUAACUUGAACCCCUUUGCUAGGUUACCAUUUCCGGGGUAUUCAAAUCACAUACAAAAUCAUUAUUUUGAAGAAUCCAAAGAGCAAAUGGAAUUCGUCCAAAACAACACUACAUUAGUCUAUUACAAUUGUUACAUUAUACUACAGCCCAAAUAAGCCUACUACUGCCUACAAUUACAAUACAUAAUAUGCUACUCUUUGUUGAUAUGCUUCACAGCUUCAGACUUGGAUUCACACUUCACCUAUGCAAAAAAUAAGAAUGAACAUAUAAGAAUAAGAAUGUGUUGAGAACAUCAAACAAUGGUCAAUGAGGGAUCCAAUAACUUAGAAGCAAGAAUUGAGAGCAAAUGAAAUGUACAAAAUAGUAUGACUAACAUUAAUUAGUAUGUGUUCAUGGAGCGGCUAAAAUUUUCUCAAACUAGCUAGGAUUUUUUUAUGUAUAGUAUACUCACAUGUGCAACUCUAAUUAAAUUGAUCAUGGAAAUGAAAAUAGAAACCAGGCGCUCAAGUUAUAUUCGGAAAAAAAUCUAACUAUUGUAAGACAAACAGAUUUGAAGUUGUAUAUUAACGUGUAACAUUUCAAGUUUGCUUAUAACUAAAUGAAGACAUGUCUUGCUAGAGAAUGUGGUUCAAAUGGGGUAAAAGCUACGCGGACAUGGAUUUCAAAAUAUAGUGUGUGUAAUUACAAUCGGAACAAUAAAUCAAAAAAUUGAACACAGAUAUGCAUGGGGUGAAAUAUAUGCACAAGAAGGACAAGAAAAGUACAGUUUAUGUAAAUCAGAAAUCACUUAAUAGAUAUUUAAUCUUGAUUCUAGAACAAUUGGAUUAAAGCAUGCUGAAAAACUGAAGCAAAGAGUAAUAUAUAUCAUCAGGAAUUGUUCUUUCAGACCAAGGAAAAAUUAUGCAGGGGGAUGUUUGUGUAAAUUAUAAGUUGUCAAGUAGAUUAAGAUAUAGGGUGCAUUCAAGUGCAGUGGAGAUUCAGAGUCAUAUCAACAAUGUGACGGUAGAAGCAAAAGAAACCCGUUUUCGUCAUACGUGAGAUUGCAUGUACUGUAAUGGAACUCCACGCAUCUCUCUAGAAAAAACUUCGACGCCCACAAAUGCAUCCAUUUCACAAGUCAAACGCAAUAAAAUUAUACUCAUAUGGAACUUGGUUAGGCAUUC